GCCAACCCGGGGACCCGGGUUUAUCAUGUGGGGUUGAACCACCGGAUCAUCCAUCGUUAGGGGUCAUCGUCGUUGCGCUCGGCAAACACGGCCCCGGUGCAUCAUUAUCAGCAGCAGCAGCAGCAGCAGCAGCAUGUCCGUUUCUUUCCACGGUCAUUCUUUCCUCCACCGCUUUUUAUUAUAUUUGGCACAGGCAGAGUGCGUCGGGGAACAAAAGGAAAAGCCAUCCACUGAAGAAGAGACGAUUUUUGGGCCGUUGAAGCUGAAGCUGAAUCGAGCUGUACUUGAUGGCACUGUACUAAUGGAACCUGUGCAGGUCGUGAGCCCUAAGAGCAAUCGGCCAUUGAGACAGCAUUCUUGUUGCUGCAGUUCACCCGUUGGUUGGAUUGGAAGAUUCAAUUUGGCAGCUCCUCCUGCACGUAAUGUAACGCGUUUAGGUCGACGCCACUGUUCUCGAAGAUCUUAGCGUGUCCCGUGGGAGCUGGCCUUUGAACACAGAAAAUGUUUCCGAGGCGGCUGCGAUGGCGGCGGCGGCGAGCAGACUGCUAAUUGUUGGGGUUUGUUAAAAGCUUUUGAAUUGUGAGUGAGUGAGAGAGUGAGUGGAAAAUUUAAAAUAAUCACGUUUAAACAGUCGAGGCUGAUGAAGGAAGGCCCAUAAAACUAAAAAAAACGCUCAAAACGCCAGGAUAAAUGCAUGCAUCAGAUGGCCAUGCCGUUUCCAGUGACGUUUAUUUGUGUAGCUGAAUUUAAAAUUCAAAUCGCAAUGCAUAAAUUCAGGCGCACAAAAAAGCGGAUCGAUAAACUAAAAGGCAAGGGAAAAUAUCGAUCGAUCGAUCGGUUUGCAGGCUGGUUUUUUUUUAUUCCAGUAACAUUUCCAUUGGUGCAAAUGUGCAAACCCAAAAUUCGAAUGUUGAAACGAUUUGUCGUCGUAUCGGACAUCGGAGCUCACCUGAUGCUAAUGGGGCCACAGGCCGUACAAGCCUGUCCUAAAAGGGGUUGAGACGCAUCUAACCAGGGACAUUAACUAAGGCGUAGGAAAUGGAAAUGCAUGUCCAAAGCUUUGGAACAUAAAACACACAAAAACAGCAAAACUAGGCAAUCGUUUUGAGACACCAAACUGAAUACGCUUAUCAUGUUUUAAAAACGAAUGUUUGAAGCUCGUUUUUUUGUCUCUCCAUACAACAUACAUACGCGGCGAAUGAUCUCAUCUCAUUGGUAUGUAAUUAAAUUUUUGGGGCUCGAGCUCGACCAUCGGCUUUAAUUAUACGGUGCACCGGUCGUGCAGGAAGCGUGAUUUAUUGCUGUCAUCCACCGGCCACCGGUCAGUGGCCAAUUUAUGCUUGCGCAAAACUGAGACCAACACGUAAUCACGUCCGUUAGGGAAUGAAAAAUUAGAAAAUCUGCCCAACCAAGAAUUGACUGGCCUGGACUGGUUGGUGGUGGUUGGUGGUGGAUUCGUUGAACCUUUUUUUCUAUAUUUAAAGCUGAGAGGAGUGGCUAGGGCGGUUUGGGUGGUAGGAAGCAGUUGUAAUAAAAUUAUAAUUCCUACCAAAACGCGAACGCAUUUUUGGUGCGCUCGCGCGUACGAUCGCGCGAUCACUGUUCUGCGUGCAAUGCGCGGCAGAGCAAAAUGCGCGCAAAAAGAGGCGAAAAAGCAGUUGGUGGGUAGGCGAAGCCAAGGGGAGUGGAUGAGUAAGAAGGAAGGAGGAAGUAUCAUAUUCACACGCACGCGGCAGCGAGGGAGGACCAGGAGGCCACGUGGGCUAUGAUGAAACAUAAAAAUUUCACCGGCCUUAUUGUUAUUGCUCAUUAGGAAUUAAUUUAUGUGUCGCUUCUGGAUUUUUGGUCGAUCGUGUGAUCAACAUGAGCCGGAGAGAAGAUAGCAAGAGAAGAAAGAGCGGAAAGGGGGAAAGGGAAGAGAAAAUGAAGAGCAGUUCAAGAUAUUUGGCCACGGUAGAAUGAGCUGCACUGUUUGAGAGGUUUCUAAUCGUCUGAUAAUGUAAAUAGGCGCCAAAGGUAAAUGGUCGUGUUGAUCGAAUGUCCGCCUGACAGGCCUUUGCUGGAUCGCUUCGCAAAGUCUCGGAUCGCUCGGAACAGUAGGCUGACAGUAAGCGCCAAAGGGUGCUAAUACACGCGUCACGUUUGGUUAACAAAACAGCACUUUGUUGCGGGAUAACAGAAGCAGCCGUCGGAAGUAGAAAGAAGAAACCAUUCCUCGCAUACGCGUGUGAUGUUUUCAUUUUGCUCCUAUUAAUUAUUUAAUAAAUCGUCAAUUAAACCGCGAAA